CAUAAGGUAAAGAAGAGAUGUGUCGGGUGCUCACUCCAAAGAUAAACAGUUAAAUAGGCAGCAGUAACCAAUACAAGGAUUCCCAGCCUUGAUAAGAAACAGUAUAGAAGAGAAAAAAUGAGGAAACCGCGCCUUACAUGAGUUAUAUAUACAUACACUUGAUGUCUCUUAGUAGUUGCGGAUAAUUUAUCCUCAAAAAGAAAACAGAAAAAAUAUAUACAAUAGUGUAAUAU